CUUCCUUCUUCCUUCCUUUCUUUUUUGUGAUGUUUUGACUCCACUGGCUCCUACAACCCUUCUUCCCCUUCUUCUGCAGAAUUCACUGAGUUCUACCUAAUGUUUGGGUCUCUUCAUCUGUUCCUGGAUAGAGCAUCUCUGAUGCUGAUUAUGCCAGGCUCCUAUCUACAAGCAUAGCAGAAUGUUAUUAAAAACCAUUUCAUUUACUUUUUUAACCACUGAGCAUGGUUGGUUCUAUCCUAGUCUUUGGGCCAUGUAGGCAAUGUAAGGGGUGACCUCCCUCUCAUGGAAUGGGACUCAAGCUGGGUCAGUCAUUGGUUGGCCUUAAUCAUCCAGUUAAUUGGUACAUCUUAAUGGCUGCAUCUGUCCCAAACUUUCUUUCCUUUUAGGAAGUGACUGCGCCAUCCUAUGUCUCCCUCACCAAAGUUCUAGUAUAUGAAAGGCAGCCAGCAGUCUCUGCUCAUUAGUCACAGAUCCAAAGAUCCCCUGAGGCCCCUGAGUGAAGUUGGGCAUGGAUGCCAGGUGGAUGGUGGUUUGGUCACAGCCCGAGGGAGGAGGCUGAGUAUUUCACCAUGUCUCUAACACCAGGGCUACAUCCCUGCUGCUGAAGUCAGCUAAAGCUUUAAGUAUGGAGAAGACAUGCAAGUAAUCAGACCACGGAGGAAGUGUUUUUCCUAAAACUCAAGGUAAAGCUAAAAUCAUGAUAGGUGCUCAAUAAAAGUUUUAGAAUGUGUAACA
rnacentral:lncRNA from 1 species